UACAGAGGGGGCGAGCGUUGUUCGGAAUUACUGGGCGUAAAGGGCGCGUAGGCGGCCUGCUAAGUCGAACGUGAAAUCCCUGGGCUCAACCCAGGAACUGCGUCCGAUACUGGUUGGCUUGAAUCCGGGAGAGGGAUGUGGAAUUCCAGGUGUAGCGGUGAAAUGCGUAGAUAUCUGGAGGAACACCGGUGGCGAAGGCGACAUCCUGGACCGGUAUUGACGCUGAGGCGCGAAAGCCAGGGGAGCAAACAGG
rnacentral:rRNA from 1 species